rnacentral:rRNA from 1 species
UACGUAGGUGGCAAGCGUUGUCCGGAAUUAUUGGGCGUAAAGCGCGCGCAGGCGGUCUUUUAAGUCUGAUGUGAAAGCCCACGGCUCAACCGUGGAGGGUCAUUGGAAACUGGUCGACUUGAGUGCAGAAGAGGGAAGUGGAAUUCCAUGUGUAGCGGUGAAAUGCGUAGAGAUAUGGAGGAACACCAGUGGCGAAGGCGGCUUCCUGGUCUGUAACUGACACUGAGGCGCGAAAGCGUGGGGAGCAAACAGGAUUAGAUA